GAUGAACGCUAGCGGCAGGCUUAACACAUGCAAGUCGAGGGGUAACAGGGUGCUUGCACCGCUGACGACCGGCGCACGGGUGCGUAACGCGUAUACAAUCUACCUUGUACUAGGGGAUAGCCUUUAGAAAUGAAGAUUAAUAUCCUAUAGUCUAUUUGAGUGGCAUCAUUUAAAUAGUAAAGGUUACGGUACAAGAUGAGUAUGCGUCCUAUUAGUUAGUUGGUAAGGUAACGGCUUACCAAGACUACGAUAGGUAGGGGCCCUGAGAGGGAGAUCCCCCACACUGGUACUGAGACACGGACCAGACUCCUACGGGAGGCAGCAGUGAGGAAUAUUGGACAAUGGGCGAGAGCCUGAUCCAGCCAUGCCGCGUGCAGGAAGACGGCCCUAUGGGUUGUAAACUGCUUUUAUACAGGAAGAAACACUCCCUCGUGAGGGAGCUUGACGGUACUGUAAGAAUAAGGACCGGCUAACUCCGUGCCAGCAGCCGCGGUAAUACGGAGGGUCCGAGCGUUAUCCGGAAUCAUUGGGUUUAAAGGGUCCGUAGGCGGGCAGCUCAGUCAGUGGUGAAAGUUUGCAGCUCAACUGUAAAAUUGCCAUUGAUACUGGUUGUCUUGAAUUAAUGUGAAGUGGUUAGAAUAAGUAGUGUAGCGGUGAAAUGCAUAGAUAUUACUUAGAAUACCAAUUGCGAAGGCAGAUCACUAACAUUAUAUUGACGCUGAUGGACGAAAGCGUGGGGAGCGAACAGGAUUAGGUACCCUGGUAGUCCACGCCGUAAACGAUGGAUACUAGCUGUUCGGUAGCAAUACUGAGUGGCUAAGCGAAAGUGAUAAGUAUCCCACCUGGGGAGUACGUUCGCAAGAAUG
rnacentral:rRNA from 1 species